rnacentral:misc_RNA from 1 species
CCGAGUUUCUACUCAUAACCCAUUGUGAACUUACCUUUUGUUGCUUCGGCGGACCGGGGGAGCCCUCUCGGGGGCCGACCCGCCGCCGGGGAAAACCAAACCUCUGUUUUUACCAUGUGUAUCUUCUGAGUUAAAACAUAAAUAAAUCA